UCAUUUUUGCGUGCAAUGAUCC
rnacentral:miRNA from 1 species